AGAGUUUGAUCCUGGCUCAGGAUAAACGCUGGCGGCGUGCCUAACACAUGCAAGUCGAACGCCCUUGAGCAAUCAAGGGAGUGGCGGACGGGUGAGGAACACGUGAGUACCUACCCUUUGGUGAGGAAUACCGGCGAGAAAUCGCCGACAAGACCGCAUACGCUCGGGCAACCGAGGAAAGCUCGCAAGAGCGCUGGAGG
rnacentral:rRNA from 1 species